AUAUAUGCAUACACCAUCAUAAUCUGUUAGUUGUAAGAUAUGAGGGUAAUCAGAAAAGUUGCUGUAAUCCAUUUCUGAGUCACCAAAAGCAUCUCUACGUGUGAUUACAAUGCAUACUGUGUUAGAAGCAGAAACCAUAGGUUUAAAUCUCAUAUCUGGAAAAAAACUGUAUUCAACCUGUCGUAGUAAAGUUGUGACAUGUUUAUCAAAAAGUAUAAGUCAAAAUAAAAAUGAUGAAGAUUUUGAUAUUGUUAAUGAAAGAUCCAUUCAAAAUAAAAAAGAAAGUGUAGAUACACACUUUGCAUCUGCCGGAGUAUCUCCAAU